rnacentral:lncRNA from 1 species
AAGUCUAUGAGGAUCUCGUAGAUCCACAAACCUUGAGUGUAUGACUUGUACUGUACUCUAAUGAGUCCAAUCGCAUAAUAAAAGAAGUAGCCAUUUUGUAUUUUGAUAUUUUGUAUUUUGUAUUUUGUUGCCACUUUUAGCCUCAGUUAUAUAUAUGUGUUAUUGGAACUAAUAUAUUUAGCUAAGAGAUUGGUAAUAAUUUACUCUGC